AAUAGAUACCCCGGUAGUCCUGGCAGUAAACGGUGCGCGUUUGGUGUGGGAGGAAUCGACCCCUUCCGUGCCGGAGCUAACGUGUUAAACGCGCCGCCUGGGGAGUACGGUCGCAAGAUUAAAACUCAAAGAAAUUGACGGGGGCCCGCACAAGCGGUGGAGUAUGUGGCUUAAUUCGAAGCAACGCGCAGAACCUUACCUGGGCUUGACAUGCUAGGAUUACCCCGGUGAAAGCCGGGUAGGCCCCGCAAGGGGUACAACUAGUACAGGUGCUGCAUGGCUGUCGUCAGCUCGUGUCGUGAGAUGUCGGGUUAAGUCCCUUAACGAGCGAAACCUUUACCCUUAGUUACCAGCGGGUUAUGCCGGGGACUCUAAGGGGACCGCCGGUGUCAAACCGGAGGAAGGUGGAGAUGACGUCAAGUCCUCAUGGCCUUUAUGCCCAGGGGCCACACACGUGCUACAAUGGCGUUGGCAAAGCGACCCUAAAGCGCGAGCUCAUGGAAAUCGCAGAAACAACGCCCCAGUUCAGAUCGGAGGCUGCAACUCGCCUCCGUGAAGUUGGAAUCG
rnacentral:rRNA from 1 species